GCCGCCUCCAGCCCGGCCCUCCCUCUCCAGCCCCGCCCCACCCCACUGCCCCGGUGCCCGCGCGCUCCUUCCAGAUGCCCAGGCUUCCAGAAAGCUGAAGGACAACCUAUUCCAAAGAAGGACCUACUUUUCUCUGAGCGGCAUUAUAAGCAAGGCACCAUCUUCUUCAUUCCAGGAUAAUAUUCAAGAAGGCACACGCAAGAAAGGCUACAAAUCCCAGUCGCCAUCCAUUUACCUGGUAUGCAGGUCUUUGAAUGGGUAACCAUAUUUCCAAGGUUGCGUCUGAUUGAAGGAUGAGACAUCAAACACGCAAAAAGGACCAUCUUUCAGGGCUGCUCCAGAAGUGAUAAAGCAAAUCAAGGCUCCAAGCAAAGCCAGGCCACUUGACAACAGAGCAGUGAGCAUCUGCAGAGGGAGAGAGGAAACACUGAGCCUGAGAUGGGGUUGUGACUAGAUGACUUGUGGGGCGAUCUGGACCAGUCUAACUUGUCUGGUGCUUGGGUUUCCCCCCAUCAUAUCACAUGGGGAUAAUCCUACCCAUGGCGCCUCCUUUAAUGCAUAACUAAGGUGGGGUGGCUGAUGAGGGGUCACUGGGUAGAGCCAGGAAGGGGUGAGGAGAAAGGACUGAGAAUGGGGAAACACUGGCUCUUGGAUCUGGAUCACCCUGACUCAGCAGGCUCUUGGGAGCCUCUCAGCAGGUUGGCAUCAAAAGCUUCUACACCCAGGGGCUGGCCCCGUGGCCGAGUGGUUAGGUUCGUGCGCUCCGCUGCAGGCGGCCCAGUGUUUCGUUGGUUCGGAUCC